GACGAACGCUGGCGGCGUGCUUAACACAUGCAAGUCGAACGGAAAGGCCCUGCUUGCAGGGUACUCGAGCGGCGAACGGGUGAGUAACACGUGGGUGAUCUGCCCUGCACUUCGGGAUAAGCCUGGGAAACUGGGUCUAAUACCGGAUAGGAGCCAUUUUUAGUGUGAUGGUUGGAAAGUUUUUUCGGUGUAGGAUGAGCUCGCGGCCUAUCAGCUUGUUGGUGGGGUAAUGGCCUACCAAGGCGGCGACGGGUAGCCGGCCUGAGAGGGUGGACGGCCACAUUGGGACUGAGAUACGGCCCAGACUCCUACGGGAGGCAGCAGUGGGGAAUAUUGCACAAUGGGCGCAAGCCUGAUGCAGCGACGCCGCGUGGGGGAGGACGGCCUUCGGGUUGUAAACUCCUUUCGCUAGGGACGAAGCUUUUUGUGACGGUACCUAGAUAAGAAGCACCGGCUAACUACGUG
rnacentral:rRNA from 1 species